rnacentral:rRNA from 1 species
GCCAGACUCCUACGGGAGGCAGCAGUGGGGGAUAUUGCACAAUGGGGGGAACCCUGAUGCAGCGACGCCGCGUGGGUGAAGGAGUAUUUCGGUAUGUAAAGCCCUAUCGGCAGGGAAGAAGCAAGACGGUACCUGACUAAGAAGCCCCGGCUAACUACGUGCCAGCAGCCGCGGUAAUACGUAGGGGGCAAGCGUUACCCGGAUUUACUGGGUGUAAAGGGAGCGUAGACGGCAGUGCAAGUCCGGAGUGAAAGCCCGGGGCUCAACCCUGGGACUGCUCUGGAAACUGUAAAGCUGGAGUGCGGGAGGGGCAGGCGGAAUUCCUGGUGUAGCGGUGAAACGCGUAGAUAUCAGGAGGAACACCGGCGGCGAAGGCGGCCUGCUGGACCGUAACUGACGUUGAGGCUCGAAAGCGUGGGGAGCAAACAGGAUUAGAUACCCCUGUAA